rnacentral:hammerhead_ribozyme from 1 species
ACCUGGAUGACGAGUCCCGAAUAGGAUGAAAUGCGCAUCGUGGAU